UAUACGACCGUACCGCAAACCGACACUGGUGCGCGAGAUGAGUAUUCUAAGGCGCUUGAGAGAACUCAGGAGAAGGAACUCGGCAAAUUGACACCGUAACUUCGGAAGAAGGUGUGCCCUAUUAGUGUGUAGUGAACAACGAAGCAUGAAUGGGUUGCAAAAAAUCGGUGGCUGCGACUGUUUAUUAAAAACACAGCACUCUGCAAACACGAAAGUGGACGUAUAGGGUGUGACGCCUGCCCGGUGCUGGAAGAUUAAAUGAUGGGGUGCAAGCUCUUGAUUGAAGUCCCAGUAAACGGCGGCCGUAACUAUAACGGUCCUAAGGUAGCGAAAUUCCUUGUCGGGUAAGUUCCGACCUGCACGAAUGGCGUAACGAUGGCCACACUGUCUCCUCCUGAGACUCAGCGAAGUUGAAAUGUUUGUGAUGAUGCAAUCUCCCCGCGGAAAGACGGAAAGACCCCAUGAACCUUUACUGUAGCUUUGUAUUGGACUUUGAACAGAUCUGUGUAGGAUAGGUGGGAGGCUUUGAAGCAGGGUCGCUAGAUCUUGUGGAGCCAACGUUGAAAUACCACCCUGGUGUGUUUGAGGUUCUAACCUAGGUCCAUUAUCUGGAUCGGGGACAGUGCAUGGUAGGCAGUUUGACUGGGGCGGUCUCCUCCCAAAGCGUAACGGAGGAGUUCGAAGGUACGCUAGUUACGGUCGGACAUCGUGACGAUAGUGCAAUGGCAUAAGCGUGCUUAACUGCGAGACUGACAAGUCGAGCAGAUGCGAAAGCAGGACAUAGUGAUCCGGUGGUUCUGUAUGGAAGGGCCAUCGCUCAACGGAUAAAAGGUACUCUGGGGAUAACAGGCUGAUACCGCCCAAGAGUUCAUAUCGACGGCGGUGUUUGGCACCUCGAUGUCGGCUCAUCUCAUCCUGGGGCUGUAGCCGGUCCCAAGGGUAUGGCUGUUCGCCAUUUAAAGAGGUACGUGAGCUGGGUUUAAAACGUCGUGAGACAGUUUGGUCCCUAUCUUCCGUGGGCGCUGCAGAUUUGAGGAAGCCUGCUCCUAGUACGAGAGGACCGGAGUGGACACACCUCUGGUGUAUCGGUUGUCACGCCAGUGGCACUGCCGAGUAGCUAAGUGUGGAAGAGAUAACCGCUGAAAGCAUCUAAGCGGGAAACUCGUCUCAAGAUGAGAUCUGCCGGGGCCUUGAGCCCCCUAAAGAGUCGUUCAAGACCAGGACGUUGAUAGGUCAGGUGUGGAAGC
rnacentral:rRNA from 1 species